rnacentral:rRNA from 1 species
UGGCUCAGAACGAACGCUGGCGGCAGGCUUAACACAUGCAAGUCGAGCGCCCCGCAAGGGGAGCGGCAGACGGGUGAGUAACGCGUGGGAAUCUACCCUUUUCUACGGAAUAACGCAGGGAAACUUGUGCUAAUACCGUAUAAGCCCUUCGGGGGAAAGAUUUAUCGGGAAAGGAUGAGCCCGCGUUGGAUUAGCUAGUUGGUGGGGUAAAGGCCUACCAAGGCGACGAUCCAUAGCUGGUCUGAGAGGAUGAUCAGCCACAUUGGGACUGAGACACGGCCCAAACUCCUACGGGAGGCAGCAGUGGGGAAUAUUGGACAAUGGGCGCAAGCCUGAUCCAGCCAUGCCGCGUGAGUGAUGAAGGCCCUAGGGUUGUAAAGCUCUUUCACCGG